CAUGCGCGGAGGCAGAGCCCCAGGACCGCGAGACUAUCCGCACAGCUUCUCCUCAGGCCCCACAGCUAGAACCCCAAAUCGCCUAGUCCCAACCCAUGCACUCUCUAAUCGGCGCCACACGACGGGCCUUCCCCACAACCUCAUCUGCUUGGGGACGUAAAGGGCUCUGUGGGGGAGCUGCAGCUUUCGUGCCCAUCUGUUAAAGGCCAGAACUUCCCAUCUCUGAAAUGCGGGAGGGAACAGAGCUCAAGCUUGAAUAACUGAGCGCGGCCCGGCAGUCCCCCAAGUGAAGAUUCACCAGAGAAUAAGCCUGAUGGAAGUCUGGAGAUAACAGGACUCCCAACCAGCAGAUGUGAAACCUGAAAUUAGUGAUUUGCCAAAGGAAAUGAUGAGCUGUGAUCCCAGGUCUGUCUAACCUAUACUUGUCUCCAAACGGUAGGACAGUGUUUCCGUUCUCUCCAUAGUGAGAUUCAGCCUCUUUAAUGCCUCUUUUAGCAAAAUAUUACAAUGAACUCUUCUCCAAUGAACAGUGAGCAAUGUCUCCUUGAGCAAACUUUCUUGGAUGAAUUGAGAUGAGGCAACUGAAGAAGGCAUUGAAAACUAUAAUAUUCCUUAGAAAUUAAGAUUUCUUCUCAUCUUGAAUAAUGGCUCUUACAUCAUCCUAAAGUAUAAAAUACUUUUUUUCUGAAAAUACUUGUUUCUUCAUUUUAUUACCUUACUUCAACAUUUUCCAUUAUUACAAAAUGUUUAUUUCAAAAAUUGUCUCAAAAAUUUUCCGACAUAAGCCACCACAAUUUUUCCUCAGUAGAAGUGUAAUAUAAAUAAAUUGAAAUCAAGUUUUCUCUUCAUUAUAAAAAUAUUCCCCAAAAUUGCAUGGUAACUCAAUUUUUAAUCAAAUUUGUUGUUGAAUUUUGGAAAAGCUUUUUUAAAGUCUUAAAGUUCAAUUAGUUUUUCAAAGAGCCCUAGUAUAGCACAAAAACAUCAUUACUCUUAUAAAAACUAUAUUUUUAUUUCCCUAGUAAUUUGCCCUGGCAGACUCGGGGGUCAAGGACCUGGUGUUGCAAAAUUCCAGUAGUUACCAUGUCCAGAAGAUAUACUGUAAAUUGUGCUUCCAGAAGUUGGGUCAUACAAUGGUACAAAUGGAAACUUUGAUUUAUUAUUUUGUUGCUUCUUGUUAACUAAUUUUAGAAGACUGAGAGUGGGGGUGUCCAUGCUUUAGAUCCUUCAAAGAAGGGAUUAAUGAAAAUUUGUUGUUGCUUUUUGGUAAAAACUACUCAUUGAGCUAACAGCUAAAAAACUGAAUUUCAAUAUUACCAUAAAUUUGAAGACAAAAUGUUUCCUUGUGGAGGAGGAGUUUGGGCAAAGUAUAAAUAAGUAAUUAAAAUUGUGCUCAACUAAAGAGUUUAUUGUGGAGGGAAAAGUGAUCUCGUGUUCAUAAGUGGAAAUUAAAUGUUUUUAUAGAGUGGUGCAGUUAUUGCGACAGUGCAAAUUAUAUUAAUAGCUAAUAGAGAAUUCAAAUAAAAUGUUUCUAA
rnacentral:lncRNA from 1 species